rnacentral:rRNA from 1 species
UACGUAGGGGGCAAGCGUUGUCCGGAUUUAUUGGGCGUAAAGAGCGUGUAGGCGGCCAAGCAGGUCAGCUGUGAAAACUCGAGGCUCAACCUCGAGACGUCGGUUGAAACCGCUUGGCUAGAGUCCGGAAGAGGAGAGUGGAAUUCCCGGUGUAGCGGUGAAAUGCGCAGAUAUCUGGAGGAACAUCAGUGGCGAAGGCGGCUUCCUGGUCCAACACUGACACUGAGGUGCGAAAGCGUGGGGAGCAAACAGG